GCUGGGUGUGAAGGCCACAGCUCACACUGCCUGCGUCAAGGCCUCUGUGGUCUUUGUGCGCAACAAUAGACGAAAGUACACCUGGCCCAGUGCUUCAGUGUUUCUCCAUUGGAGUCUGUUGUGGCAGAUAGCUACUCAUGCUAAGGAGCUUCUCAAGUCACCUUCGUUGCUUUCUACAAAGACCUGCUGGGAUGUUUGGAUUGAGGCGCUCAUCACGUCCCAUGAAUUAUGAGAAGUGAGGUAAAUAGAAAAGUCUGCUAAUCAAAUGUUUCUUUCCCGUUAAUGAAAUGUCUCUGCCCUUAUCUGACUCCCUUAUGAUCCAUACGGUAAUGUCUAUUACCGAAUUUACCCCCUCUCCCUCUUUUAGCCCAUCUUCCUUAUCUAAAAUUGUGUUGUGAAUUUGGCACAGUGAA